UUUCUCUUUGGGGACUGUCUCCUGGACAUUCAAUGUGAUGUUUUCUCUCCCUCUCAGGAAUCUGACCAAACUCCAGGGCCACCUAUCAUGAGCAGCCUUGUUUGCUUGCAAUUUGCAGAGUUGCGAGGGGUAAAGGACUGGCUUUGACUAUUCAAUCUUUCAGGAAAACUUGAUCCAGUCGGCUAUAUUCUUGGACUGGCAAAACUGUAACGUUGAGUGCUUCUACCAACUGAUGAUCUAUGGGAAAUCAAGACAGAGCUGCUCUGGGAUGACUAUGCACAUUGAAGGAGGAGUGGAAUUUCAUUUACAAGAUAUUUUGAUGAAGUCUCAGUAGGGAAGAAAACUAACUUCUGGAGAGAGCUUACUUGUGCUAGAUAAUUGUACUUGCAUUAUUUCACUGAAUCUUUUUGGCAAAGCUUUGAGUCACUGGAAAGGCAGCAGAGAGGGCGUGGAGACAGACACAUCUGGAUGAGAAACUCCAGCUCCACCCACUUAACAGCUGUGUGAUCUUGGAUGUGCCAUUUACUCUCUUGCCUCAGUUCGUUCAUCUGUGAAAUGGAGCAAACAUCACAUCCCUGGUGGUUGUGAAGAUUAACCAUGAUCAUGUUUCGUCACAUCUUGCCUGGAUGACUGCAGUGGCCACUAAGCUGGUCACAGAGUGAGCUUUCUUAAAUGCAAAUGUAAGGAUGGCAGAGCCUCAAGUGCUUCAGUUCCUCCAAGUGCCUGUUCCCUGAGUGGCAUACCAUUGAAGGCCCUCUGAGUCUGCAGCUAUGUUUCCACUCUUACUGGUGUGUGCACCUGGAGCUGUCACUUUUUCAAUAAUGCAUUUCUGACUCCCUCAUCAACAAAGGUAUUUACUCCUUCCUCUUUGCUGCCAAUAAACCACUGAGAACAUGCCUUCCUUUGGUAUUUCAAUGGCAUUUGUAAUUAUGUGUCUUUCCCUGUCUUUCUCACCGAUCUGUGGACUCCAGCGUGCAGGAAACUUGUCUUAUUCUCUUUCACAUCUAACAGGGUCUGGCCCAAAUAAGUACUAAAGAAAUGUUUGCUGAAUGAAUAAACACUAAUAUUUCUUGAGCUGUUCUUGGUUUUUCUCAAUACUAUCUCUUAGAAUCCUCACAACAACAGCCUUGUGGCAUAGACACUGUUAUAUCCCCACUUUAUAGAUGUGGCAGCUGAGGGCACAGAGAAGUUAAGUCACUUGCCCAAGGUACAUAACUUGACAGGAUUUGAACCCUGGAAGUUAGGCUUUAUGGUAUAUAUCAAACUCUAACUCCCAUAGUAAUAAUGAGCAAAUGAAUGAAUGAAUGAAUGAAUGAAUGCAGUGAGAUUCCAUGAACUGAAGAUAGGAAAGGGAAAUGCUACAUGACCUUAUA